rnacentral:rRNA from 1 species
CCUACGGGAGGCUGCAGUGGGGAAUAUUGGGCAAUGGGCGCAAGCCUGACCCAGCAACGCCGCGUGAAGGAAGAAGGCCUUCGGGUUGUAAACUUCUUUUCUCAGGGACGAAGCAAGUGACGGUACCUGUGGUAUAAGCCACGGCUAACUACGUGCCAGCAGCCGCGGUAAUACGUAGGUGGCAAGCGUUAUCCGGAUUUACUGGGUGUAAAGGGCGUGUAGGCGGGAAAGCAAGUCAGAUGUGAAAACCAUGGGCUCAACCUGUGGCCUGCAUUUGAAACUGUUUAUCUUGAGUAUCGGAGAGGUAAUCGGAAUUCCUGGUGUAGCGGUGAAAUGCGUAGAUAUUAGGAAGAACACCAGUGGCGAAGGCGGAUUACUGGACGAAAACUGACGGUGAGGCGCGAAAGCGUGGGGAGCAAACAGGAUUAGAUACCCUUGUAGUC